ACGAACGCUGGCGGCGUGCUUAACACAUGCAAGUCGCACGGGGCCGGGGGCAACUCCGGUUCAGUGGCGGACGGGUGCGUAACACGUGAGGAACAUGCCCAUCGGCGGGGGAUAGCCGGCCCAACGGCCGGGUAAUACCGCGUACGCUCUUCGGGGCUCCUGCCCUGGAGAGGAAAGCAGCAAUGCACCGAUGGAGUGCCUCGCGGCCUAUCAGCUAGUUGGUGGGGUAACGGCUCACCAAGGCGACGACGGGUAGCUGGUCUGAGAGGACGAUCAGCCACACGGGGACUGAGACACGGCCCCGACUCCUACGGGAGGCAGCAGCAAGGAAUUUUCCACAAUGGGCGCAAGCCUGAUGGAGCAACGCCGCGUGCGGGAUGACGCCCUUCGGGGUGUAAACCGCUUUUCGAGGGGACGAAGGCAAUGACGGUACCCUCGGAAGAAGGAUCGGCUAACUACGUGCCAGCAGCCGCGGUAAGACGUAGGAUCCGAGCGUUGUCCGGAGUUACUGGGCGUAAAGCGCGCGCAGGCGGACACGCGCAUCGGCGGUGAAAGCCCCCCGCUCAACGGGGGAGGGUCCGUCGAGAUGGUGUGUCUGGAGGCAGGGAGAGGCCAGUGGAAUUCCCGGGUGUAGUGGUGAAAUGCGUAGAGAUCCGGAGGAACACCCAGUGGCGAAGGCGGCUGGCUGGACCUGACCUGACGCUGAGGCGCGAAGGCGUGGGGAGCGAACGGGAUUAGAUACCCCGGUAGUCCACGCAGUAAACGAUGGAGACUAGGUGUGGCGGGAGUUGACCCCUGCCGUGCCGGCGCUAACGCAGUAAGUCUCCCGCCUGGGGAGUACGGCCGCAAGGCUAAAACUCAAAGGAAUUGACGGGGGCCCGCACAAGCAGCGGAGCGUGUGGUUUAAUUCGACGCAACGCGCAACACCUUACCACGGUUUGACAUCCCUGGAACCCCGGUGAAAGCUGGGGGUGCCUUCGGGAGCCAGGAGACAGGUGCUGCAUGGCUGUCGUCAGCUCGUGUCGUGAGAUGUUGGGUUAAGUCCCGCAACGAGCGCAACCCCCGUGGCUAGUUACGAGGUGUGCCUAGCCAGACUGCCGGAACCAAACCGGAGGAAGGUGGGGAUGAUGUCAAGUCAGCAUGGCCCUUACACCGUGGGCGACACACACGCUACAAUGGCCGGGACAAUGGGCAGCCAAGCGGUAACGCGGAGCCAAUCCCUCAAACCCGGUCUCAGUUCAGAUCGUGGGCUGCAACUCGCCCACGUGAAGGCGGAGUUGCUAGUAACCGCCGGUCAGCAUUACGGCGGUGAAUAUGUUCCCGGGCCUUGUACUCACC
rnacentral:rRNA from 1 species